rnacentral:sRNA from 1 species
AGAAUUCCAAGCUUGAAGUUCUAGUCUACAUGUGGUAGUUCUCUCCUGUGUAACCUGGACUUCUUUUCCUACCCUGUAGGUUCUGUCGUAUCAUGCUUCAGCAGCAGAGGAAGAAACAAGAGAGCUACAGUCGUUAGCGGCUGCUGUGGUGCCAUCUGCCCAGACCCUUAAAAUUACUGACUUUAGCUUUAGUGACUUUGAGCUGUCUGAUCUGGAAACAGCACUGUGUACAAUUCGGAUGUUUACUGACCUCAACCUUGUGCAGAACUUCCAGAUGAAACAUGAGGUUCUUUGCAGAUGGAUUUUAAGUGUUAAGAAGAAUUAUCGGAAGAAUGUUGCCUAUCAUAAUUGGAGACAUGCCUUUAAUACAGCUCAGUGCAUGUUUGCUGCUCUAAAAGCAGGCAAAAUUCAGAACAAGCUGACUGACCUGGAGAUACUUGCAUUGCUGAUUGCUGCACUAAGCCACGAUUUGGAUCACCGUGGUGUGAAUAACUCUUACAUACAGCGAAAAUUACCCUGAAAUUACCUUGAAAGAAGAUAUUUCUCCAAUAGAAAGUUGCCCCUUGAGUCAU